rnacentral:rRNA from 1 species
CCUACGGGAGGCAGCAGUGGGGAAUAUUGCACAAUGGGCGAAAGCCUGAUGCAGCGACGCCGCGUGAGGGAUGACGGCCUUCGGGUUGUAAACCUCUUUCAGCAGGGAAGAAGCGAAAGUGACGAUACCUGCAGAAGAAGCACCGGCUAACUACGUGCCAGCAGCCGCGGUAAU